rnacentral:rRNA from 1 species
GUGAAAUUGAACUCGCUGUGAAGAUGCAGUGUACCCGCGGCAAGACGGAAAGACCCCGUGAACCUUUACUAUAGCUUGACACUGAACAUUGAGCCUUGAUGUGUAGGAUAGGUGGGAGGCUUUGAAGUGUGGACGCCAGUCUGCAUGGAGCCGACCUUGAAAUACCACCCUUUAAUGUUUGAUGUUCUAACGUGGACCCGUGAUCCGGGUUGCGGACAGUGUCUGGUGGGUAGUUUGACUGGGGCGGUCUCCUCCUAAAGAGUAACGGAGGAGCACGAAGGUUGGCUAAUCCUGGUCGGACAUCAGGAGGUUAGUGCAAUGGCAUAAGCCA